GACGAACGCUGGCGGCGUGCUUAACACAUGCAAGUCGAACGAUGAUCAGGAGCUUGCUCCUGUGAUUAGUGGCGAACGGGUGAGUAACACGUGAGUAACCUGCCCCUGACUCUGGGAUAAGCGUUGGAAACGACGUCUAAUACUGGAUACGACUGCCGGCCGCAUGGUCUGGUGGUGGAAAGAUUUUUUGGUUGGGGAUGGACUCGCGGCCUAUCAGCUUGUUGGUGAGGUAAUGGCUCACCAAGGCGACGACGGGUAGCCGGCCUGAAAGGGUGACGGGCCACACUUGGACUGGGACACGGCCCAGACUCCUACGGGAGGGAGCAGUGGGGAAUAUUGCACAAUGGGCGAAAGCCUGAUGCAGCAACGCCGCGUGAGGGAUGACGGCCUUCGGGUUGUAAACCUCUUUUAGUAGGGAAGAAGCGAAAGUGACGGUACCUGCAGAAAAAGCACCGGCUAACUACGUGCCAGCAGCCGCCGCCG
rnacentral:rRNA from 1 species